rnacentral:rRNA from 2 species
GUGACUGCGUACCUUUUGUAUAAUGGGUCAGCGACUUAUAUUCUGUAGCAAGGUUAACCGUAUAGGGGAGCCGGAGGGAAACCGAGUCUUAAUUGGGCGUUAAGUUGCAGGGUAUAGACCCGAAACCCGGUGAUCUAGCCAUGGGCAGGUUGAAGGUUGGGUAACACUAACUGGAGGACCGAACCGACUAAUGUUGAAAAAUUAGCGGAUGACCUGUGGCUGGGGGUGAAAGGCCAAUCAAACCGGGAGAUAGCUGGUUCUCCCCGAAAGCUAUUUAGGUAGCGCCUCGUGAAUUCAUCUCCGGGGGUAGAGCAC